rnacentral:rRNA from 1 species
CGCGUAGGCGGAUUGGAAAGUUAGAGGUGAAAUCCCUGGGCUCAACCCAGGAACUGCCUUUAAAACUAUCAGUCUAGAGGUCGAGAGAGGUGAGUGGAAUUCCGAGUGUAGAGGUGAAAUUCGUAGAUAUUCGGAGGAACACCAGUGGCGAAGGCGGCUCACUGGCUCGAUACUGACGCUGAGGUGCGAAAGUGUGGGGAGCAAACAGGAUUAGAUACCCUGGUAGUCC